AGUUUAAAUCCUUCAUUUAGAAACUGAGCAGGACAUGAUCCGAGUCAGACCUGGAGCAGAAGAUCCGUCCGUGGCCAAGGACAUGAUCUGAGUCAGACCUGGAGCAGAAGAUCCGUCCGUGGCCAAGGUGGGC